AUCACGUGUCAUAUUGAGGAGUACUGACAAAUCACCCCCACAAUCAAUUCCCAACUAAACUGAGUCGCAUAUCAGAUUCCUAGGGAAGACACUCGCGCUUCUCCGCCUCCCUUGCCGAUUGCCGUAGAUCUCCGCCGUUCACCACCGCUUGUCGCCGCCAAUUGCCGUCGCCUGAGAAACAAAGAUGGGAAAAGCAAAGAAAGCCCCCAAAUUCGCGGUCAUGAAGAAGCUUGUAACCGCGAAAGCUAUUAAACACCACAAAGAAGAGGUUUUGAACCCUAACAAAAAGGAUUUGCGCAAGGAAAAGCUUCCUAGAAAUGUGCCGUAUGUUUCAUCUGCUCUUUUCUUUAAGUAUAACACUGCACUGGGGCCGCCUUAUCGGGUUUUGGUUGAUACCAACUUCAUCAAUUUCUCCAUCCAGAAUAAGUUGGAUUUGGAGAAAGGAAUGAUGGACUGCUUAUAUGCAAAAUGUACUCCUUGUAUCACCGAUUGUGUGAUGGCAGAGCUUGAGAAGUUAGGUCAGAAGUACCGUGUUGCGUUGAGGAUUGCAAAAGAUCCUAGGUUUGAAAGGCUCCCCUGUACUCAUAAAGGAACCUAUGCUGAUGACUGUAUCGUUGAUAGAGUUACCCAGCAUAAAUGCUACAUUGUUGCUACAUGUGAUCGAGAUCUGAAACGAAGGAUCCGCAAGGUCCCUGGUGUGCCGAUCAUGUACAUUACAAAGCACAAGUAUUCAAUUGAGCGGUUGCCUGAGGCUACAAUGGGCGGAGCUCCGAGAGUCUGAUGUCAUGAGGUGCAUCUUUCAGCGAUCAAUGCGCAUAGUUUCUAUUUAUCUAAUGGUACAGUGCUGUGGUAUGUCAUAUGAAGAUCCUUGAUUGGUGGUUCUAGGAACUUACCUUGGGGGAUAUGGUUCUGGCUUCUCUACAGUGCAUUGGGAAUUUUUUUUUUCGAAAGUCAUUUUUUAUAUUUAUAUUUGUAGUAGUAGUAGUAGUACUUUCUUCUUUCCUUGAUGAUGUUAAUUUAUAUCCAUGGAUUAUAGCUGAUAAUUCUUCUUCUGUUUUUUUUUCCUUUCUUUUCCAUUUGUGCUUUUGCUAUUUUUUUCUCUGAGCUUUCACCUUUUCUGGCUAAUUUUCUAGGCCCUGUUUGGGGCUUUGGGGCUAUUGAACUUA